CAUGGGGUGUCUGAUGCGCAGAUACGCAUUCUGGGUCGUCGGAAAUCGAAUGCAUUUCACAAGUACAUCCGCGUUCAAACGCUUACUACAACAUAACCUGUAUUAUUUUAACACCCUCUUUUAAACAGCAUUGCGGGGUGAUGUCUAAAGGAGGGUUACAAUUAUGGCUUAUGGUGUUAUUCAGCAGGGGCGGAUAACACCAUUUCUGCCAAAAUACACAUUAUAACUUACAUAUAUAUUUAACUUGGCAGUUAGCAGGGGCAACUGUUACUAUGCUAUCCAAUUGUAAAUGAUAUUGCACGGUGAGCAGGGGCCACUGUAUUCAAAUAAUUGAAUGUGUCACCAACAAACACUUUAUACCUAAGCGGCUAGCAAGGGCGGUCGUUUCAACAUUUAUGGAAACAGUCAUCCUGAACGAUGUUUUCAAUUUCGACGGUGCGCAGUGGCGUCUGUCUUUUCUAAAUCAAAUGUUAUUGUGUAUCCAAUAUUAUUUGUAUAUGAUACACUGACUUUCCAGUGGGAUGCAUUAUUGUAGUCCUUGGCGUUGCAUUUCCCUCGGGUGGGGAGACUUUUAUAUUCAUUUCCUCCUUUUGCGUACUGGGAAAUGAAUUGCAAAGUCUUUGGCGUGUAGUCCUGCCACCUUUACUGGCAAUUGAACAUCAAUAUAUAAAUCAAAAUGAACUCUAGUAUUAUUCUGAUGAUUAAAAUAUGUUAUUAUUGAUUUUUAUAUAAUCAUUUUCAAUAAAGCGGCUAUGAAUUGUUUAUAGCCAAAAUUUACCCAUAAAGACAUUGUCCAUUUAUUGCUUGCCAGUAAACAUAUAACGACAUUGUCCAUUUAUUGCUUGCCAGUAAACAUAGCUUGGUUAAUGCAACGCUAAUUGGAUAUCCGUAGUCUAUUAACUGAAGGAAGGCGUGACAUAAAAGGUAUAUGUGGAAUAUUUGAG